rnacentral:rRNA from 1 species
CACGUAGGGCGCAAGCGUUGUCCGGAAUUAUUGGGCGUAAAGAGCUCGUAGGCGGUCUGUUGCGUCCGCUGUGAAAUCUCGGGGCUUAACCCCGAGCCUGCAGUGGAUACGGGCAGACUAGAGGUAGGUAGGGGUAGAGGGAAUUCCCGGUGUAGCGGUGAAAUGCGUAGAUAUCGGGAAGAACACCAGUGGCGAAAGCGCUCUACUGGGCCAUAACUGACACUGAGGGACGAAAGCUAGGGGAGCGAAAGGG